UACGUACUCCCUCCGUCUCAAAAUUCUUGUCUUAGAUUGUCUAAUUACGAAUAUAUCAAGUCACGUUUUAGUAUUAGGUACAUCCGUAUCUAGACAAAUUUAAGACAAGAAUUUUGAGAUGGAGGGAGUGCCAU
rfam:Triticum aestivum genome assembly, contig: Triticum_aestivum_CS42_TGACv1_scaffold_472904_6AL